UGGAAUUUUUCUUAUUUUGACAUGUUUAACUGGGUCAGGAAAUUUGGUUGUUGGCAGUCUACCACGUAAAUUGUACAGAGAAAUGGUAAUAUAGUAGUUAUUACUAAAUAUUGAUGGACCAAUGUAACCUUAUCAAAUUAGAAAUAUAUUACCAAACAAGAAAAAUAUAUUACGUAUAUGCCAUUUAUAUUCUUGUUCCCGUAAUACCCUUGUACCACAUAUACUACCCACGCAUACUACCU
rnacentral:lncRNA from 1 species